rnacentral:tRNA from 1 species
GGAUUGUGGCUCAGUGGUAGAAUGCUUGCCUAACAUGCUUGAGGCACUGAGUUCGAUCCUCAGCACCA